UCCCUAAAAGCCAUCCCAGUUCGGAUCGCAGGCUGCAACCCGCCUGCGUGAAGUUGGAAUCGCUAGUAAUCGCGGAUCAGCAUGCCGCGGUGAAUACGUUCCCGGGCCUUGUACACACCGCCCGUCACACCAUGAGAGUCGGGAACACCCGAAGUCCGUAGCCUAACCGGAAGGGGGCGCGGCCGAAGGUGGGUUCGAUAAUUGGGGUGAAGUCGUAACAAGGUACC
rnacentral:rRNA from 1 species